AAUUACAAGUGUGCUCCUGGUGGUCUUUAACUGAAGGGCACUGACUGGGUACUGGUGAAGUUCCCCGCAGGAACUGAGUCAGACCCCAUCUCAGGGCCCUGCAGAAGAUAGGUGCCUGCUCUAAGGCGUGGACCCUCGCGACAGCCCUGGCCCGUCUUGACGGGCGAGGGUUACUGUACUUGUCCCAACCGUACAGAUGAGAAAGCUCAGACUCAGGGCCAGCAACCCCGGUCCCAGCGGAGCGCCCGGCACGCGCCGACACUUCAGCACCAGUCGCGGUGGCCACCACUGUGCGCGGAGAUGGCUGCGACGCGUGCGCAGAUUAAAUGCUGUUUUCCAUGACCGUCUCUGUUCUUCCCAUACGCGAAUGGCAGGCAUCCAGAUCUCCAAGAAUAGAGGAUUAGGAGAGACUCCACCACCUAUGUCCUCACAGUUAAUUAUCGAUUUGUGUCACUUGCCCAUUUUCUCACUUCCUGUUUGUGUGUCAAGGAGUAUUAAUAAAUCUUUGCCUAUUUAAAGAUA